rnacentral:rRNA from 1 species
AGUGAACGCUGGCGGUAGGCCUAACACAUGCAAGUCGAACGGCAGCACAGUAAGAGCUUGCUCUUACGGGUGGCGAGUGGCGGACGGGUGAGGAAUACAUCGGAAUCUACUUUUUCGUGGGGGAUAACGUAGGGAAACUUACGCUAAUACCGCAUACGACCUACGGGUGAAAGCAGGGGAUCUUCGGACCUUGCGCGAUUGAAUGGGCCGAUGUCGGAUUAGCUAGUUGGCGGGGUAAAGGCCCACCAAGGCGACGAUCCGUAGCUGGUCUGAGAGGAUGAUCAGCCACACUGGAACUGAGACACGGUCCAGACUCCUACGGGAGGCAGCAGUGGGGAAUAUUGGACAAUGGGCGCAAGCCUGAUCCAGCCAUACCGCGUGGGUGAAGAAGGCCUUCGGGUUGUAGAGCCCUUUUGUUGGGAAAGAAAAGCAGCAGGUUAAUACCCCGCUGUUCUGACGGUACCCAAAGAAUAAGCACCGGCUAACUUCGUG